GCUCGGAUGGCGGAAUGGUAGACGCUGAGGACUUAAAAUCCUUUGCCAGUAAUGGCGUGCGGGUUCGACUCCCGCUCCGAGCACCA
rnacentral:tRNA from 1 species